UACAAUUUAAAUUAUUUUAGAGUAGUACAAGUUAUAAUCUUUAAACUCAAAAGAUUUGGCGGUAUUUUAUCUUAUCAGAGGAACUUGUUUAUUAAUUGAUGAUCCACAACUAUUAUUUACUUCAAUCAAAAAUAUUUGUAUACCGCUGUCAUGAAUAUAUUGAAAAAUUUAUUUUCUAUUUAAUUGGUUUUUAAUUUAUGUUAGGUCAAGGUGCAGUUUAUUGAAGAACUAAUGAGUUACUUUAAAUACGAUGAAUAGAAAUUAAAAUUUUAUUUUAAAGGAAAAAGGAUUUGAAAGUAAACAUAUUUAUAGAAAUAAAAUGAAUUUAGAUUCUAAAAUAUGU
rnacentral:rRNA from 1 species